UAGUCAUAUGCUUGUCUCAAAGAUUAAGCCAUGCAUGUCUAAGUAUAAGCAAGUAUACUGUGAAACUGCGAAUGGCUCAUUAAAUCAGUUAUAGUUUAUUUGAUCGUACCUUACUACUUGGAUAACCGUGGUAAUUCUAGAGCUAAUACAUGCUAAAAAUCCCGACUUUUUGGAAGGGAUGUAUUUAUUAGAUAAAAAACCAACCCGGGCAACCGGAAACCUUGGUGAUUCAUAAUAACUUUUCGGAUCGCAUGACUUUACGUCGGCGAUGGUUCAUU
rnacentral:rRNA from 1 species